UAGGGAAUCUUCCACAAUGGGCGAAAGCCUGAUGGAGCAACGCCGCGUGUGUGAUGAAGGGUUCCGGCUCGUAAAACACUGUUGUAAGAGAAGAAUGACAUUGAGAGUAACUGUUCAAUGUGUGACGGUAUCUUACCAGAAAGGAACGGCUAAAUACGUGCAG
rnacentral:rRNA from 1 species